UGCGUGUUUCUACCCUCUCUGAGUUGUC
rnacentral:piRNA from 1 species